UACGGGGGGGGCAAGCGUUGUUCGGAAUUACUGGGCGUAAAGGGCGCGUAGGCGGCCUGCUAAGUCGGACGUGAAAUCCCUCGGCUCAACCGGGGAACUGCGUCCGAUACUGGCGAGGCUUGAAUCCGGGAGAGGGAUGCGGAAUUCCAGGUGUAGCGGUGAAAUGCGUAGAUAUCUGGAGGAACACCGGUGGCGAAGGCGGCAUCCUGGACCAACACUGACGCUGAGUGAGCGAAAGCCAGGGGAGCAAACGGG
rnacentral:rRNA from 1 species